rnacentral:rRNA from 1 species
AUUGCACAAUGGAGGAAACUCUGAUGCAGCGAUGCCGCGUGAGUGAAGAAGGCCUUUGGGUUGUAAAGCUCUUUCGUCGGGGAAGAAAAUGACUGUACCCGAAUAAGA